UACAGAGGUGGCAAGCGUUGUUCGGAAUUACUGGGCGUAAAGGGCGCGUAGGCGGCCUACUAAGUCAGACGUGAAAUCCCCCGGCUUAACCUGGGAACUGCGUCUGAUACUGGAAGGCUUGAGUAUGGGAGAGGGAUGUAGAAUUCCAGGUGUAGCGGUGAAAUGCGUAGAUAUCUGGAGGAAUACCGGUGGCGAAGGCGGCAUCCUGGACCAUUACUGACGCUGAGGCGCGAAAGCGUGGGUAGCAAACAGG
rnacentral:rRNA from 1 species